AGUGAACGCUGGCGGUAGGCCUAACACAUGCAAGUCGAGCGGAGCGGCGGAGGGGUGCGUGAUGGGUAGGAAUCUGCCUGGUUGUGAGGGAUAACGUCAGGGAAUGGGCGCUAAUACCGAAAACUAACGGCUGAGCAGCGGUCGGAUUAGCUAGUGGGUGGGGUAAAGGCCUACCAGGGCGACGAACCGUAACUGGUCUGCAAGGAUGAUCAGCAACACUGGAACUGAGACACGGUCCAGACGCCUACGGGAGGCAGCAGUGGGGAAUAUUGGAAAAGGGGCGAAAGCCUGAUCCAGCCAUGCGGCGUGUGUGAAGAAGGUCUUCGGAGUGUAAAGCACUUUAAGUUGGGAGGCGUUACCAACAGAAUAAGCACCGGCUAACUUCGUGCCAGCAGCCGCGGUAAUAC
rnacentral:rRNA from 1 species